GACGAACGCUGGCGGUAUGCUUAACACAUGCAAGUCGAACGAGAAGAUUAUGAUUGAGCCUUCGGGUGAGAGAAUAAUUGGAAAGUGGCGAACGGGUGAGUAACGCGUGGGUAACCUGCCCUAUGGAAAGGAAUAGCCUCGGGAAACUGGGAGUAAUGCCUUAUGAAAUAGAGAAGUCGCAUGGCUUUUCUAUCAAACGCUCCGGUGCCAUAGGAUGGACCCGCGUCCCAUUAGCUAGUUGGUGAGGUAACGGCUCACCAAGGCAACGAUGGGUAACCGGUCUGAGAGGGCGAACGGUCACACUGGAACUGAGACACGGUCCAGACUCCUACGGGAGGCAGCAGUGGGGAAUAUUGCGCAAUGGGGGAAACCCUGACGCAGCAAUACCGCGUGAAUGAAGAAGGUCUUCGGAUCGUAAAGUUCUGUUAUUGGGGAAGAACAAAGACGGUACCCAAGGAGAAAGUCCCGGCUAACUACGUGCCAGCAGCCGCGGUAAUACGUAGGGGACAAGCGUUGUCCGGAUUUACUGGGUUUAAAGGGUGCGCAGGCGGAACGAUCAGUCAGUGGUGAAAUCUCCCGGCUUAACCGGGAAACUGCCAUU
rnacentral:rRNA from 1 species